GUAGAUAUAGUUUAACCAAAACACCAGAUUGUGAAUCUGACAACAGACGUGCAACCCUUCUUAUCUACC
rnacentral:tRNA from 1 species